AUUGGAUGUUAUUUUAAUGUACAAAAAAUUUUUGCAUACGAACAUUAAUCCUGAAGCUGGGAACAGAGCAGGGGGACAGACAGAUAUAGGGGAGGUAAUGCUGAUGCGUGUGACGAGGGAAGGCAGAUGUGCGUAGUGAUGGUGGCAGGAGUGCAUAAUGCUGGGGACCCUGGAGCCUUCGAGGGACAGGGAGCGGGAGCAGGCGUGACAAAAGUAGAUGCUUUUUCAAUUUGGAACUGACCCACAACCAUGACCCUGACCUGAAGAACUUGUUAUCCAGCGCUGGGAUCAGUGAAGACCACCUGACCAACGCAGAGACCUCCAGACUAAUCUAUGUUUCGAUCAGUCUUGGGGGCUAGAUGCCGUCAAAGAGGAGAUGAGGAGACAAGACUACAGCUCAGCGUUCAACACCAUAGUCCCCUCCAAGCUCAUCCGCCAUGCUGACCCUCAACACAAUCCCCUCAGAGGUAUGUACUUAGUCACCUCCUGUACUCCCUGUUCACCCACGACUGUGUGGCCAGGCACGACUUCAACACCAUCAUCAAGUUUGCUUACGACAUGACGGUGGUAGGACUGAUCGCCGACGGCGAUGAACAGCCUACAGGGAGGAGGUCAGAGACGUAGCAGUGUGGUGCCAGGACAACAACCUCUUCCUCAACAUCAGUAAGACCAAGGAGCUGAUCGUGGACUAUAAGAGAAAGAGGUGAGAGCACGGCCCCAUCCACAUCGAAAAGGCUAUUGUGAAGUCGGUCGCGAGCUUCAAGUCCCUUGGUGUCCACACAGUGGAGGCUGCUGGGUGGAGGACGGCUUAUAAUAAUAGCUAGAACAGAGAAAAUUAAAUGGUAUCAAAC
rnacentral:lncRNA from 1 species